rnacentral:rRNA from 1 species
GACGAACGCUGGCGGCGUGCUUAACACAUGCAAGUCGAACGGAAAGGCCCUGCUUUUGUGGGGUGCUCGAGUGGCGAACGGGGGAGUAACACGUGAGUAACCUGCCCUUGACUUUGGGAUAACUUCAGGAAACUGGGGCUAAUAUCGGACAGGAGCUCCCGCUGCAUGGUGGGGGUUGGAAAGUUUCGGCGGGUGGGGAUGGACUCGCGGCUUAUCAGCUUGUUGGUGGGGUAGUGGCUUACCAAGGCUUUGACGGGUAGCCGGCCUGAGAGGGUGACCGGCCACAUUGGGACUGAGAUACGGCCCAGACUCCAACGGGAGGCAGCAGUGGGGAAUAUUGCACAAUGGGCGGAAGCCUGAUGCAGCAACGCCGCGUUCGGGAUGACGGCCUUCGGGUUGUAAAACGCUUUCGCCUGUGACGAAGCGUGAGUGACGGUAAUGGGUAAAGAAGCACCGGCUAACUACGUG